rnacentral:rRNA from 1 species
AAUAUUUGACAAUGGGUGCAAUCCUUUUCCAGCCAUCUCGUGUGUGUGAUGAAGGUCUUCGGAUUGUAAAGCACUUUACGUCUUGAGGAAGUGCUUUAGGUUAAUACUCUUCAGUUUUGACGUUAUCAACACAAUAAGCACCGGCUAUCUCUGUGCCUGCAGCCGCGGUAAUACCGAGGGUGCAAGCGUUAAUCGGAAUUACUGGGCGUAAAGCGCGCGUAGGUGGUUCAAGAAGAUGGGUGGGAAAUACCCGGGCUUAACCUGGGAAAUGCAUUCAUAACUGCUGAGCUAGAGGACGGUAGAGGGUAGUGGAAUUUCCUGUGUAGCGGUGAAAUGCGUAGAUAUAGGAAGGAACACCAGUGGCGAAGGCGACUACCUGGACUGAUACUGACACUGAGGUGCGAAAGCGUGGGGAGCAAAC